UACGUAGGGAGCAAGCGUUGUCCGGAAUCAUUGGGCGUAAAGCGCGCGUAGGUGGCUUCGUAAGUCCGCUGUGAAAACUCGGGGCUUAACCCCGAGCCUGCAGUGGAUACGGGCAGACUAGAGGUAGGUAGGGGAGAAUGGAAUUCCUGGUGUAGCGGUGAAAUGCGCAGAUAUCAGGAGGAACACCGGUGGCGAAGGCGGGUCUCUGGGCCGAUACUGACGCUGAGGAGCGAAAGCGUGGGGAGCGAACAGG
rnacentral:rRNA from 1 species